rnacentral:rRNA from 1 species
GACGAACGCUGGCGGCGUGCCUAAUACAUGCAAGUCGAGCGGAUCUUAUCCUUCGGGAUAAGGUUAGCGGCGGACGGGUGAGUAACACGUGGGUAACCUGCCCAUAAGACUGGGAUAGCAUUCGGAAACGAAUGCUAAUACCGGAUACGCGAAUCGGUCGCAUGAUCGAAUCGGGAAAGGCGGAGCAAUCUGCCACUUAUGGAUGGACCCGCGGCGCAUUAGCUAGUUGGUGGGGUAACGGCUCACCAAGGCGACGAUGCGUAGCCGACCUGAGAGGGUGAUCGGCCACACUGGGACUGAGACACGGCCCAGACUCCUACGGGAGGCAGCAGUAGGGAAUCUUCCGCAAUGGACGAAAGUCUGACGGAGCAACGCCGCGUGAGUGAUGAAGGUUUUCGGAUCGUAAAGCUCUGUUGCCAGGGAAGAACGCUUGCGAGAGUAACUGCUCGCAAGGUGACGGUACCUGAGAAGAAAGCCCCGGCUAACUACGUGCCAGCCGCCGCCGUAAUAC